GGAUUCCAUUUGAGAGUAAAGAAACUGAGGCACGAGAGGUGAAUCUAAUUUCCCAUGGUCAUAUGCUAAGUGUGAGAGGUAAGAGUCAGAUUCAAAACUUGCUUACCCUGGUCUAGGCUGUUCAUUUGGACAAAGGGAUCCCCUUUCACUGAGUGUAAAACUAAAAAAGAAAAGACAGCUCUAUCCCACCCUCCCCGUGACUCAUGCAUAUUCAGGACUCUCCCAACUCCCCCAGGCAGCUGUGUCCUUAAUCUGGAGGAGCAAUGACCUAAUUUAGGAGCUGGGGGAUGGCCAGCCUCUUCUCCAGGCUGUUGGGGUGGGCUUAGAAGUAAUAGGAUGGUGACUCUUGGGAGAGGGGAAGAGGGUCUUGGGAGAGGGGAAGAGGCUGGCAAAGGUCCAGAGAGGUAGGAAUCUCUAAGUCCCUAGGCUGGGAAGCCCCUCCUGGAAGAUGUGUUUGGAGCCACUAUUCAGAACCCAAGACACAUACAUGGGUGCAUAGCUGCUCUCCAGAGCUGCAGCCGGUCCUCGGAGAGGCUGGAGGAGCCCUUGGUGGGGAUGUCUUCGCAGCGUUCCUUUGGUGCCUGCUUCCUUCGGGCCAGAUAACCUUGGAGGGGCCUUGCCAACUCUGCAGCUCUGUGAUUGUGUUUUGUUCCUCUCCAAUAAUGCACUUAUCUUGCAGUGUUGUGUGUUAGACUUAUCUGUGUUUGUGUCUCUCUCGGGCUCCUUCGAAAGUGAGUUCUCCAAGGCCACAGACAAACAGGGUCUAAUCUCCGCUUUGUAUUUGGCCCAGCACCCAGCGGGUUUGCAGCCUGCACUAGGCAUUGCUUGAAUGAAUGAACGAGCCCAUAGAGAAACCUCAUGGGCACUGGUCUGGGCACAACAGCCUUCGGCCAUCGCCGGGGAAAGCCUGGCUACAGAGAUCUUCUCUGUUGCCAGCUUCUUUGGCGCAGAGACAGGCGCUCCUCUGGCCAGUGGAGAAUAUGCAGCUGUCCGACUCGGGGAACAGACUGGAGAACACCUCACUGGAUACAUGAGGCAUUACCAGACCUUUGGAAUCAUCUCCCCACAAGAGACCUGAUUCUGGUUGGAAAAGGUACAGCUGGGGAAUGGUGAUCACAGGGGAUUUGGGUCAGGACUUUAAACCCCGUCGAUAUGUGGUGGGGGGACAAAGAGAAGACGGAAGCUCAGGCAGAAACACAUAUUAGGAAUUCCAACUUAUAAUCAUUUUCUAUGCUCUUGAGCUGAGGUUUUCUGCCUGAGGCCAUGAGGUCUGUUGAUAGAUUUCAGGGGCUCCAUGAACUUAGGUAGGGAAAAAAAUGACAUCUUUAUUUUUUUUUAAACCCUUACCUUCCAUCUUAGAAGCAAUACUAUGUACUGGGUUCCAAGGCAGAAGAGUGGUAAAGGCUAGGCAAUGGGGGUGUCCAGGGUCACACAUCUGGGAAGUAUCUGAGGUCAGAUUUGAACCCAGGACCUCCCAUCUCUAGGCCUGGCUCUCAAUCCACUGAGCCACCCAGCUACCCCCAACAUCUUCAUUUUCAUGAAUUUUGGUUUCCUUUGCAAUCCUGUGUAUUUUGUGAAUUUAAAAACACUAUUCUAAGCAGAGUCUUUAAGUUUCUUUGAGGUUAAGAAGCCCUGGCUUAGAAGGAUUGUUGGAGGGAGAAAAAGAUUCUAUUCUAAGAUAGCAGGCUGUAGCCUCUAUAAGAGGGGCAACUGGCACAGAGACUUAUCAUCUCAACCCAAUAACACAGCGUAAGAAAUGGGCAAACAAAUUUCAGGUUUGGGGCAGUUGUUUGGUCCAUCCUAACCUGUGGAGGUUCUGUAUUCUCCAUUAUUAUGUGCUCACAUUUUUAGUUAUUAUUGUUGCUUUGUGAUUUCCUCUCCUCUCGUUCUCCUGUUGUCAUUCAGUCCAAUUUAACAUGACUCCAUUUGGGGUUUUCUUGGCAAAUAUACAGGAAAGGUUUACCAUUUCCUUCUCUGGUUCAUUUUACAGGGAAGAAUUGAGGCAAACAAGGUUAAAUGACUUGUCCAGGGUCACAUAGUUAAGGGUCUGAGGCUGAAUUUGAACUGUCUUCUUGACUCCAGGUCCAGAGCUCUAGCCAUUGCCCAACCUUGC
ensembl:lncRNA